CCUGCCGAAUGAAUUAGCCCUGAAAAUGGAUGGCGCUUAAGCGAGUAGCCGACACUGUGCCGUCUGGACAAAAAAAAACAAUAAAUGAGAUACAUAUUUUUCAGAUGAGUAGGAGGAACGUGGCGGUCGUAUAAAAGCGUGUGCGCAAGCAUGCGUGGAACGGCCGCUAGUGCAAAUCUUGGUGGUAGUAGCAAAUAUUCAAAUGAAAACCUUGAAGGGUGAAGCGGGGAAGGGUUCCACGCGAACAUUGAUUGGGCGUGGGUGAGUCGUUCCUAAACCGUCUGGUAAUUUGCUAGGCACUCGGCGAAAGGGAAGCAGGUUUAUAUUCCUGCACACAGAUGUGGAUAUGCGGUGACGCACACUGAGGCGGUGAAGUCGUUGGUUGCACUGGGCAGAGAUUUCUUUUCUGUUUGACGGAGCCUGGCUGUACUCUAUGGAAUCCGCUUGUCGGGAGAAAUAGGUAUGUCACGGCAAAGCGCCGGGUUUUUAUCUGGCGUCCAGUUUGCGACUGGCGGACCAUGAAAAGCUGUCUGCUGGCAAAAUAUACCUGUUUAAAUGGGACAAUUUUAUUUUUUGUUUUGUUUGAACUUUUGUAUUUUGUGUGAAAAAUUCCACGCUGUAACGUACCCAUAACCGCAUCAGGUCCCCAAGGUGAACAGCCUCUGCUCGAUAUGAACAAUGCAGGUGAGGGAAGUCGGCAAAUUAGACCCGUAACUUUGGGAAAAGGGUUGGCUCUAGUGCUGCGUAGGAGUGGUUACUGGUUGUAGCUGCGAAUUUGGUCUAUUCUUGCCAAAGGCUGUGAUUGAUGAGAUUUUAUUUUGUCGUUAUCGCGCCAUUGUGUAGGAGUACUGGGUUUGUGGUUCCUGGUGACGCCUACAGCAUGCAGCAAACUAGAACUGCAACGGACAAAGGGAAUCCGACUGUUUAAUUAAAACAAAGCAUUGCGAAGGCCGUGGCCGGUGUUGACGCAA
rnacentral:rRNA from 1 species